GACGAACGCUGGCGGCGUGCUUAACACAUGCAAGUGGAGCGACGAACCAGGCUUCGGCCUGGGGCAGAGCCGCGAACGGGUGAGUAACACGUGGGUAACCUGCCCCGAUGACCGGGACAACCCGAGGAAACUCGGGCUAAUACCGGAUGUGGUGCCUUCACAUCAGUGAAGUCACUAAAGGUAGCUUCGGCCUCCGCAUCGGGAUGGGCCCGCGGCGCAUUAGCUUGUUGGUGGGGAACGGCCUACCAAGGCGACGAUGCGUAGCUGGUCUGAGAGGACGAUCAGCCACACUGGGACUGAGACACGGCCCAGACUCCUACGGGAGGCAGCAGUGGGGAAUCUUGCGCAAUGCGCGAAAGCGUGACGCAGCAACGCCGCGUGGGGGAAGACGGCCUGG
rnacentral:rRNA from 1 species